rnacentral:rRNA from 1 species
AGAGUUUGAUCAUGGCUCAGAUUGAACGCUGGCGGCAGGCCUAACACAUGCAAGUCGAACGGUAGCACAGAGAGCUUGCUCUCGGGUGACGAGUGGCGGACGGGUGAGUAAUGUCUGGGAAACUGCCUGAUGGAGGGGGAUAACUACUGGAAACGGUGGCUAAUACCGCAUAACGUCGCAAGACCAAAGAGGGGGACCUUCGGGCCUCUUGCCAUCAGAUGUGCCCAGAUGGGAUUAGCUUGUUGGUGAGGUAACGGCUCACCAAGGCGACGAUCCCUAGCUGGUCUGAGAGGAUGACCAGCCACACUGGAACUGAGACACGGUCCAGACUCCUACGGGAGGCAGCAGUGGGGAAUAUUGCACAAUGGGCGCAAGCCUGAUGCAGCCAUGCCGCGUGUAUGAAGAAGGCCUUCGGGUUGUAAAGUACUUUCAGCGGGGAGGAAGGUGUUGUGGUUAAUAACCGCAGCAAUUGACGUUACCCGCAGAAGAAGCACCGGCUAACUCCGUGCCAGCAGCCGCGGUAAUACGGGGGGUGCAAGCGUUAAUCGGAAUUACUGGGCGUAAAGCGCACGCAGGCGGUCUGUCAAGUCGGAUGUGAAAUCCCCGGGCUCAACCUGGGAACUGCAUUCGAAACUGGCAGGCUUGAGUCUUGUAGAGGGGGGUAGAAUUCCAGGUGUAGCGGUGAAAUGCGUAGAGAUCUGGAGGAAUACCGGUGGCGAAGGCGGCCCCCUGGACAAAGACUGACGCUCAGGUGCGAAAGCGUGGGGAGCAAACAGGAUUAGAUACCCUGGUAGUCCACGCCGUAAACGAUGUCUACUUGGAGGUUGUGCCCUUGAGGCGUGGCUUCCGGAGCUAACGCGUUAAGUAGACCGCCUGGGGAGUACGGCCGCAAGGUUAAAACUCAAAUGAAUUGACGGGGGCCCGCACAAGCGGUGGAGCAUGUGGUUUAAUUCGAUGCAACGCGAAGAACCUUACCUGGUCUUGACAUCCACAGAACUUUCCAGAGAUGGAUUGGUGCCUUCGGGAACUGUGAGACAGGUGCUGCAUGGCUGUCGUCAGCUCGUGUUGUGAAAUGUUGGGUUAAGUCCCGCAACGAGCGCAACCCUUAUCCUUUGUUGCCAGCGGUCCGGCCGGGAACUCAAAGGAGACUGCCAGUGAUAAACUGGAGGAAGGUGGGGAUGACGUCAAGUCAUCAUGGCCCUUACGACCAGGGCUACACACGUGCUACAAUGGCGCAUACAAAGAGAAGCGACCUCGCGAGAGCAAGCGGACCUCAUAAAGUGCGUCGUAGUCCGGAUUGGAGUCUGCAACUCGACUCCAUGAAGUCGGAAUCGCUAGUAAUCGUGGAUCAGAAUGCCACGGUGAAUACGUUCCCGGGCCUUGUACACACCGCCCGUCACACCAUGGGAGUGGGUUGCAAAAGAAGUAGGUAGCUUAACCUUCGGGAGGGCGCUUACCACUUUGUGAUUCAUGACUGGGGUGAAGUCGUAACAAGGUAACCGUAGGGGAACCUGCGGUUGGAUCACCU